rnacentral:rRNA from 1 species
ACGGCAGCACGGGAGCAAUCCUGGUGGCGAGUGGCGAACGGGUGAGUAAUAUAUCGGAACGUGCCCAGUCGUGGGGGAUAACGCAGCGAAAGCUGUGCUAAUACCGCAUACGAUCUCUGGAUGAAAGCGGGGGACUCGCAAGGGCCUCGCGCGAUUGGAGCGGCCGAUAUCAGAUUAGCUAGUUGGUGGGGUAAAAGCCCACCAAGGCGACGAUCUGUAGCUGGUCUGAGAGGACGACCAGCCACACUGGAACUGAGACACGGUCCAGACUCCUACGGGAGGCAGCAGUGGGGAAUUUUGGACAAUGGGCGAAAGCCUGAUCCAGCAAUGCCGCGUGCAGGAUGAAGGCCUUAGGGUUGUAAACUGCUUUUGUACGGAACGAAACGGUCUCUCUUAAUACGAGGGGCUAAUGACGGUACCGUAAGAAUAAGCACCGGCUAACUACGUGCCAGCAGCCGCGGUAAU